UCGUUUCUUCAAGCUGAUUUCUCCAUCACGCACCGUGUCUCCAACUUUGAUGUGGCUCUGCCGGCUGCCACUUCCUUUCUCAACCGCGGCGAUCCGCCACCAUCUCCCUUCGCACCAGCAGCGAGCCUUCUGCACCCCACGCGAUCCAUCGCCACCACUGUUUCUCGCCCCAGGGCGCCCCGGCCUCACUCCAACCUUCCCACUCCCCACUCUCCACCUUCGCCGGACCCCUCCUCGCCGACUUACCCCACAUGGCGAGGCGUGCCGUGAUACCGUCGCCCGAGCUCCGACGACAACAUCCCUGUCCUCCUUGAUCUCAUGUUCUCAACCCCCAAUGCGCAGGAAGGAAGUGGUCGGCUGUUUGGGUGUUGUCGUUCCUUGCCAAGUGCCCGGCACGCAUCUAGUGUCCCCCUCCAACCAAGCUCCAUUCCGCCGUAGUUGGGGCUUAGAAUGCCCUUUGUCGACCGGGAGGAGUCAUAGCAGCUUGCUCUGCAACUGCACUGUCAAGUCAGCAAGCCAUUUUCAUGUGGUAGCUUGGCGUUGGUACCACUAUCAACCAGAUGAAUAACAACGAGGUUUGUUGCAUUGGAAAUCCAAUUAACAAUGGGGACCUUGUUGCGACUAUUGAAUGAAUGGGAGAUCCAACUGCUUGUGCUUCUCAGUUUCAUGCUACAAAUAUUCCUCUUUUUUACUGGCAGCCUUCGACGACGUGGCGCUAAGUUUCUUAGUGGCAUCAUUUGGAUAGCUUAUUUAGUGGCAGACAUGGUAGCAGUUUACACCCUUGGUUUACUCUCAAAACAAGCGGAAAACACCACCCAACUGACAGAAAACCACCCCACUAGCUUUCUUUUGGGCACCCUUCCUACUGCUUCAUCUUGGCGGACAGGACACCAUCACUGCUUUUUCCUUGGAGGACAACAGUUUGUGGUUGAGGCAUUUGUUAAAUUUGAUAGUCCAAGUGGUCCUAGCCUUGUAUGUCUUCUGGAAGUCUACUGCUUGGCGAAAUGUGCAGAUUCUUGUUCCGGGCAUCUUUAUGUUUGUUGCUGGAAUCAUUAAGUAUGGGGAGAGGACGAUCGCUCUCAUGUACGGGAACUUACAAAACAUCAGUGGCUACAAUAGUAAUGAAGAAGAAAAUAGGUUGACUCAUCCAGAACUAGAGGAGGAUGCUAGCUACUCUAGCAUUAUUAGUUUUUCCUUGGAUUCAGCUCCAAUAGUUCGACACUUAUUUGCUGGAUUUACACUCUUCCAGAUACCAGAAGGCUUCCGCGCAACAACUUGGACGAGAGCUAUGCUCGAUCACAUCAAGUCCAACAGGCCAAGUUGGCCAAGUUGGUUGAUGUUGAACUAGGUAUCAUGUAUUGUGAUGUCUAUACAAAGGCUGCAGUGCUUCGGACAAGGAGCGGCAUCAUACUUCGGUGCACCUCUCAAGUAUCAGCUUUCCUUGCCCUUGUGUUCUUCUUCACAGUUGGCAACAAACAGAGGUACAAUAGAGUCGACAUUGCAAUCACAUACAUGUUAUUUAUGGGAUGCUUUUUUUCUGGAAGUUUGUGCAAUGUUUAUGAUGGUCAUUGUAUCACCUUGGACGUGGGCUUGGCUUAAGGCUAAUGUUAGAGUUGUGUCGAAUAUUAUUGUAUAAAGGUAGGUUACAAUUGGACUUGGUUUUGAACUGUGUGUAGACAGGAUAGAAGUUGUGUCCUAAUAGGACACUUGUAUCAUAGGCCUCUCAUAUAUAUCGGAGGUAGACGCACGAUGUAACCUAUGCCAA